rnacentral:lncRNA from 1 species
UGACAUCAUCUUCCUGAAAAAUAGUCUGUUUUUAAUAAAUAGUGAUAUUUCCGUCCAGGAUCUUUAUUUUAUAAGUUUUGUGUGUAAGUGACAUCAUCUUCCUGAAAAAUAGUCUGUUUUUAAUAAUUAGUGAUAUUUACGUCGAGGAUUUUUAUUUUAUAAGUUUUAUGUGUAAGUGACAUCAUCUUCCUGAAAAAUAGUCUGUUUUUAAUAAAUAGUGAUAUUUUCGUCCAGGAUAUUUAUUUUAUAAGUUUUGUGUGUAAGUGACAUCGUUUUCCUAAAAAAUAGUCUGUUUUUAAUAAAUAGUGAUAUUUCCGUCCAGGAUCUUUAUUUUAUAAGUUUUGUGUGUAAGUGACAUCGUCUUCCUGAAAAAUAGUCUAUUUUUAAUAAAUAGUGAUACUUCCGUCUAGGAUCUUUAUUUUAUCAGUUUUAUGUGUAAGUGACCUCAUUGUCUCGAAAAAUAAUCCAUUAUUUUUAAAAAUAAAAUGAAAUAAUUAUUUCUGCUUAUUAUCAUGAAUUUUAGGUGCGAUAAAUUUUAUGCGCACACGACCUUAUUAUCUUGAAAAAUAAUCCUUUUAAUAAAAAUUGUGAUAUUUUAUCCAUGUUAUAAAUUUUAAAUGCUGUAAAUUCUUAGAAAAAAAAAUUUAUUUAUUUUUCUUGGCUAUUGUUAGAAAAUUUUAGAUACUAUCAAAUUAUUAGAAAUAAAUGGGAUAUUUCUGCUUUUAGUAAAAUUGUGAUAUUUCUUUCUACUGUUUUGAAUAUUUAGACAUUGUAAAAUUCAUGUGCAAAUGACUGCCUUAUUAUUUAAAAAUUGACAUUUUUGCAGUUGAUUAUAGUAUUGUUGUGAAAUGUUUAUUUGUGGAUUGGUAUCCCAUAAAUUGUGAUAAUUCUGUAUUCUUGAAUUUCUUUAAGAGUUUUUUUAUACAUAUUAAAUUGGCAAUUAUGCUAGAAUGCCUUUACAAACUGCUACCUUUCUAAAUUUGAGCCCAAAAUAUUUGAUUGGUUAUUUUUGAAAUGUUAUAGAGAGUGACUGUUAUUAAUGGUUUAAGUGAAAUUCAUAUUAAUGAUUUCAGUGAUAUGUUGAGUACAUGAUAUUGCUGCUUUCGAAUGUUUAAAGAGAUUUAUAAAUAAUUUAAGUAUGCAAGUGGACUCAUCCGGUUCGCCGGUGAGGUAUAAGUGAACCUAUCUGGGACGCCAGUAGGGAUUAAGUGGACUCAUCCGGUACGCCGGUGAGGUAUAAGUGGACCUACAGGGAUUAAGUAGACCUAUCUGGGACGCCGAUAGGGAUUAAGUGGACCCAUCAGGACGCUGAUGGGGUAUAUAGGUGAGCUACUUGGGACGCCAGUAGGGUAUUUUGUGAAAUCCUUUGAAUUAUGCACUGCCGUUAAAAGUGUUAUAAGCAUUUCAAUUACUUGGAUUAUACUUAAUUAUGCAUUUUUUAAAGUGAAACUGUCGAUGCAUUUCUGUUAAUAGAUCUCAUUUUGGAAAAUAUUGAUAUCUUUCAAUCAUGAUUAUUUUUAGGAUUAUGAUGAUCACUUACUGAGUAGCCAAACUCAUAAAACUAUGAUAAACAUUUUUCAGGAUAACUGCGGUUACAUUUGAGUGCUCGUCAGGAUCAACUUUGGGAAGAUAUUGAUGUUGUGCUUAAACUUUCUUUUGUUACUUCUUAAAAAUUCGCCAUUGUAAAUUUGUCCUAAAAAAUAUGUAUAUAUAUGUUUUGACUGCCACAUCUCAGGAAUAUCAGUAUUGUAAAUUCUUGGGGUGUGACAAUUAUGGUAUCAGAACAAUAGGUUUAAGAUUCUUAGGAAAUUUAAAAGUCUUUUUCAAAAAUCAGGUACACAAAUUUAGAUGACUAAAUUUCUUUAAGGGGGGACGAAUGUAACAAUCCUAAACUUUCAAAAAAAAAAAAAGAAAAUAAACUUUUAAUACAUGAUGAUUCGUUUGAACAUGAUGGUGUUUAGGGACCAUCGCUACUUUUCAAAGCUUUUGUUUAAAAGCUUUGUGUUUCCUUGCUCUUGCCACGUCCACUAAAGGACGUGGGCUUUAGGUGUUUAAAGCGAAAACUAACGCUCACACCUGUAACGUAAUAAAAGCUUGAGGUGUUUCAAGCGUAAACUAACGCUCACACCUGUAACGUAAUAAAAGAAUAAAAUAAUAUAUUAGUAGAAUUUAAAUUCAAAGAGGUGAAGACUCCUACCUUAGAAAACUUUUGAGAUUUUUUCUCUGGUCGAAACAUAGUGAACUCUUCUCUCGAGCCGAAUUUUUAUCGGAAGCUCCCUCUCAAAUAUUUGUGAGUAAGUGACAUCAUCUUUCUGAAAAAUAGUCUGUUUUUAAUAAAUAGUGAUAUUUCCGUCCAGGAUCUUUAUUUUAUAAGUUUUGUGUGUAAGUGACAUCAUCUUCCUGAAAAAUAGUCUGUUUUUAAUAAAUAGUGAUAUUUCCGCCGAGGAUCUUUAUUUUAUAAGUUUUGUGUGUAAGUGACAUCAUCUUCCUGAAAAAUAGUCUGUUUUUAAUAAAUAGUGAUAUUUCCGUCCAGGAUAUUUAUUUUAUAAGUUUUGU